CUGUUAACCAUGAUGGUUAUGUUCUGAUUAGAGAAAGCACAUUCUAACCUGGCUCCGAGUUGUAAGCCUUGGGACAUGGGAGCUAACAUUGGAAUGCAGUCCAUCCUCCUGUCCUGAGAAGUGCCC